rnacentral:misc_RNA from 1 species
GUCGGCCAAAAUAUGGUGUCUACACUGAGUCAACACAUUAUUAAAAUUGUUCAUAUCAUUAUGGUGAAGCUUACUAAGAAUUGCACCCACCCUAAAUAAACAGCAAGUGAUUUCUAGAACUUGCAACCAACCUUGAGCACCACAUUGAUUACAAUUAAGAAAUUAUUCUUUUCCUUUGUCCCCCCUUGUUGGAAUACAAUUUUAAAAAUUACAAGCAACUCUAAUAUUGGA